rnacentral:misc_RNA from 1 species
GAUGAAGAACGUAGCAAAAUGCGAUACUUGGUGUGAAUUGCAGAAUCCCGUGAACCAUCGAGUUUUUGAACGCAAGUUGCGCCCGAAGCCUUUUAGCCGAGGGCACGUCUGCCUGGGCGUCACGCAUCGCGUCGCCCCCCACAAUUCUCCGUAAAGGGAACGUGUGUUUUGGGGGCGGAUAUUGGUCUCCCGUGCUCAUGGCGUGGUUGGCCGAAAUAGGAGUCCUUUCGAUGGACGCACGAACUAGUGGUGGUCGUAAAAACCCUCGUCUUUUGUUUCGUGCUGUUGCUCGCAAGGUAAACUCUUUAAAAACCCCAAUGUGUCGUCUCUUGACGACGCUUCGACCGCGACCCCAGGUCAGGCGGGACUACCCGCUGAGUUUAAGCAUAUCAAUAAGCGGAGGA